CCUACGGGGGGCAGCAGUAGGGAAUUUUCGUCAAUGGGCGCAAGCCUGAACGAGCAAUGCCGCGUGAACGAGGAAGGUCUUCGGAUCGUAAAGUUCUGUUGAAGGGGAAAAAGAGCGGAGAGAGGAAAUGGUCUCCGAUUGAUAUUACCCUUCGAGGAAGUCACGGCUAACUACGUGCCAGCAGCCGCGGUAAUACGUAGGUGGCGAGCGUUAUCCGGAAUGAUUGGGCGUAAAGGGUGCGUAGGCGGCCUGUUAAGUCAGCGGUAAAAGCCCGGGGCUCAACCCCGGCGAGCCGUUGAAACUGGCGGGCUGGAGUUGGAGAGAAGUACGCGGAAUGCGCGGUGUAGCGGUGAAAUGCUUAGAUAUCGCGCAGAACCCCGAUUGCGAAGGCAGCGUACCGGCUCCACACUGACGCUGAGGCACGAAAGCGUGGGUAUCGAACAGGAUUAGAUACCCUGGUAGUC
rnacentral:rRNA from 1 species